rnacentral:misc_RNA from 1 species
AGCAGCCGCGGUAAUUCCAGCUCCAAUAGCGUAUAUUAAAGUUGUUGCAGUUAAAAAGCUCGUAGUUGAAUUUCGGGAUCAAUAUAUCGGUCGUGCCUUGGUACGUACUGGUAUCAUUGGUUUCUCCUUUCUGACGAACCACGAUGUCAUUAAUUUGGUGUUAUGGGAAGUUAGGACUGUUACUUUGAAAAAAUUAGAGUGUUUAAAGCAGGCUUUGGCUUGAAUACAUUAGCAUGGAAUAAUGAAAUAGGACGUUUGAUUCUAUUUUGUUGGUUUCUAGGAUCGACGUAAUGAUUAAUAGGGAUAGUUGGGGGCAUUAGUAUUCAAUUGUCAGAGGUGAAAUUCUUGGAUUUAUUGAAGACUAACUACUGCGAAAGCAUUUGCCAAGGAUGUUUUCAUUAAUCAAGAACGAAAGUUAGGGGAUCGAAGACGAUCAGAUACCGUCGUAGUCUUAACCAUAAACUAUGCCGACUAGGGAUCGGAUGAUGUUAAUUUUUAAUGACUCAUUCGGCGCCUUACG